UGAGGAACAUGACUUUCGGCGGGGGAUAGCCGGCCCAACGGCCGGGUAAUACCGCGUACGACCACAUGGGGACAUCCCUGAGUGGUGAAAGCAGCAAUGCGCCGAUGGAGUGCCUCGCGGCCUAUCAGCUAGUUGGUGAGGUAACGGCUCACCAAGGCGACGACGGGUAGCUGGUCUGAGAGGAUGGCCAGCCACAUUGGGACUGAGACACGGCCCAGACCUCUACGGGAG
rnacentral:rRNA from 1 species